UUGAUUUAAUUGUUCCUUUUGAUUUAAAAAUUCUGGAAAAUAGUUUCGAGCUUUGAAUUAUUUUUCUAAAAUAUGUUCGAGGCUCGUUAAUUGAUUUCAAAUGAUUUUGGGAUCCGAUCUUGAGCAAUCGGACUUGAUUAUUUAUUUAAAAAUGGAUUCUUUUACCUGUUUUAAUUCCGAAAAAUGUCUAGAAAUUCCAGAAAAUUCCUGAAAAAUCAUUUUUAACCUGAAACUUGAUUUGACAUCAAUUGGGAUGGGAAACCUUAUAUGAAAAAUGUUGUCUGCUAUCUGUUUGAUAUGUUAUGUGCCAAUAGGAGAGUUAGAAAACGGUUUUGCUUAUAACUUUUGAUCGGUAAUUCAGAAUGGAGUGAAACGAAAGAGAGAUGAAAGCUUAUAAAGUCUAUUUUAAUGUGACAUAAUAAUAUGGUGGAGUAUAGAAUGUGAAUAAUUGUUGUUAAAUGUAUAAAAUAUGAUUAUAUGUGAUCUAAUUGCUAUUAAUUGAUGAUUGCAUAGACUAUCUGGUUGUUCUAGUAUUACAUACAUGUGAUAAAUGAUUAAAUGACAUAGUGUCGUGUCUUGAUAGAUGUCGGAUAAAAGCAUAUGGAUUAUAGUGAUUGGAUUUGGUUGGUUGAUUGGUGAUUGAGAUAGGAUAACAGGUGGAUAGUCUAAUAAAUAGACGAGACGAUGUCGGAUUUUCGAUAAGAUUUAUAUGAUAUUUAAUUGAUAAUAUGUUAUGUGAAAUAUGAUUAGAUAUAUGGUAGAGUCAAAGCAUGAUUAUGUGUUAAGUGAGAUUUGAUGAGUUCAAAGAGUUAUAUAAGUGGGUAUCGAUAUACGUGAUAUGUGUAUGCGAUAGGUUAUGCUACCCAGUUGAUAAGUAGAGAUAAGAAUCAAUAGAUUAUUUAGUGAUAAUGGUAGUAUCUUAUUCUCGUAAAGGGUUUGGACGGGACGGAUAUGAUCGAAGACGUUCAGAAGGUCAAAUAAUGUUACAAAGCGAAUAAGGAACGAAUCGAGUAAACGAAGCAGUGUGGCGAAUAGAGUAUAGCCAAAGAUGGUCUAGAGACUAUGAUAUGCAUAGAGUGUGAAAGUGGAAAGAUGAGAUUGAGAUAUGAGACUGGAGUCGGAUUUAAGAAAAGCUUAGAGAUGAAUUGCUUGAUUGAGGUUGCGAGUAUGGCUAAGGCUAAGCGAGGAGUCAGAGUUAUAGAAUAUCCAGAGGACAAGUGGAAUGUCCAGGGAGAUUGUCAAGAUUGGUUCUAGAUAGAGUUGUGUUAUUGAGAUUCAGAUGUAAUCAUAAUUUGAAUAGAUUGGCAGUGCUUCUUCUCAUCGAAGAUGAUCUGAGAUUGUAAGACAUUGUUAAUUGAUAGUGGUUGAUUCUAAUUUCAAUACUGUAACCUGGAUGCGAUCCUGUUUUUAGGGGGUUAAAGUGUUUUCUUUUAAAUCUUUUACUAAA